rnacentral:rRNA from 1 species
UGCGUAGGCGGAUUAAUAAGUCAGUGGUGAAAUCUUUCGGCUCAACCGGGAAACUGCCAUUGAUACUGUUAAUCUUGAGUUCGGUUGAGGUAGGCGGAAUGUGUAAUGUAGCGGUGAAAUGCUUAGAUAUUACACAGAACACCAAUUGCGUAGGCAGCUUACUAGACCGACACUGACGCUGAGGCACGAAAGCGUGGGGAGCGAACAGGAUUAGAUACCCUGGUAGUCC